rnacentral:lncRNA from 1 species
GUUGGCAGAGGCCUGGGUCCACCAGCAGGGCCUCACCACCCUGAGCUUCCCGGCAUUAAAAGGUGCCUCACCAGGCAUACUGCUAUACCCUGGGAACAAGAAGAGUCAGACCCAGCUAGCCUGGAGCAACUCAAUGAAUCAACAGCAGCAGCCAUGGCUCCUCUUCCAGGGCAGCCCAGGGCAGGCACUGCCAGUCGAUCCCAGCACCCUUUCCCUCAGACCCCGGACUCAGCCUCAAAAUUCGUCUCCAGCCAGGGGAUUUAGCUCAGUGGUUUCACCGCCUGCCGCGCAAGCGCAAGGACCCGAGUUCGAUUCCCAGUACCAAAAAUAAAAUAAAAUAAAACAAAGAUUCAUCUCUUCCCAGAGCUUCAGGCAGCCAGUUCUCAUCAACUGGAGUUGGUCCAAAUAUGGAAACUCUUUGUUGUACCUAGC